UAGUUGGUGGGGUAAAGGCCCACCAAGGCUACGAUCCUUAGCUGGUCUGAGAGGAUGAUCAGCCACAUUGGGACUGAGACACGGCCCAAACUCCUACGGGAGGCAGCAGUGGGGAAUCUUGCGCAAUGGGCGAAAGCCUGACGCAGCCAUGCCGCGUGAAUGAUGAAGGUCUUAGGAUUGUAAAAUUCUUUCACCGGGGACGAUAAUGACGGUACCCGGAGAAGAAGCCCCGGCUAACUUCGUGCCAGCAGCCGCGGUAAUACGAAGGGGGCUAGCGUUGCUCGGAAUUACUGGGCGUAAAGGGAGCGUAGGCGGAUAGUUUAGUCAGAGGUGAAAGCCCAGGGCUCAACCUUGGAAUUGCCUUUGAUACUGGCUAUCUUGAGUACGGAAGAGGUAUGUGGAACUCCGAGUGUAGAGGUGAAAUUCGUAGAUAUUCGGAAGAACACCAGUGGCGAAGGCGACAUACUGGUCCGUUACUGACGCUGAGGCUCGAAAGCGUGGGGAGCAAACAGGAUUAGAUACCCUGGUAGUCCACGCUGUAAACGAUGAGUGCUAGUUGUCGGCAGGCAUGCCUGUCGGUGACGCAGCUAACGCAUUAAGCACUCCGCCUGGGGAGUACGGUCGCAAGAUUAAAACUCAAAGGAAUUGACG
rnacentral:rRNA from 1 species